CCAAUCCCCAAUCCAACCAAUCCAAUACAGGGAGGCUUCCUCCGUCGUCUUCGCAGCAGAUUCGCCUGAAUUUGAUUUGGGUUUCUGUCUCAUCGAUGUCGCCGCUCAAGGUGAGGAAGUUCCCCUAUUGCCCUAGGUUUUUUUUUCUUUACCAAUUUUUCUCAAAUCUUCCCCUCCCUAAUCAAUUCUUUGUCCAUUUCUUACCUUAUCUGAUCAGUGUGCUGCCCGCGGCUUACUAAAAUGCCCCCGUCACUGCACCUGCUAGGUCCAUUAAGUCGCAUGUAUAUCAUGCUGCCUGUUCUUCACGAAAUGGAACUGUCUUAUGUCCCAUCUUAUAAAGCC
rnacentral:lncRNA from 1 species